GAAUUCUUCCUGCACAUGGAGCAGGGAAAUGGUCUGACACCGGUGUGACUGCACUGGGUGGCAGCUCAGGUGGGGAACUGUAUCACUGUCAUUGUCCUGAUAUUUCCACAGUAUCUCCAUAGGAACGUUCUACAACUGGAGAACUGGAUAGAAAACGAAAGACAGAGCAGCCAAUCCAGAAGCUUCCAAAAUCACUCUGCACCUCAUUGACCUUCCUGAACUGCUAAAAUCCAUGUGGUGAAACUGCUCCGAAUUGCUGUUCGGGUGACCAGAACUGACCAUAGUACUCCAGAAGAGGCCUCACCAACGUCCUGUACAACAUCAACAUGACAUCCCAACUCCUGUAUACAAAAGGCAUGAGCAAUGCGGGAUUUUGAACAUUGAAGGAAAAAGCACUGUUCACACUGGGAGAAACACAUACUGUCGUGUGGAAGAGUCUGUGAAGAUUCAUCUGAGAUGUCCAAACGCCAGCGCAGUUACACUGGGAAAAGACUGUGCAAUGUGGGGAUUGUGGGAAGGGAUUUCUUUACCCAUCCCAGCUGGAAAUGCACCAACACAGUCACACUGGGGAGAAGCCAUUCACCUGCUCUCAUUGUGGGAUGGGAUUCACUCUGUCAUCCCACCUGCAGAAACACCGUCGAGUUCACACUGGGGAGAGACCAUUCAUCUGCUCCCUGUGUGAGAAUGGAUUCAGUUAGUCAUCCAAACUGCUUCUACACCAGCAAGUUCACACUGGGGAGAAACCGUUCACUUGCUCCCAUUGUGGCAAAGGGUUCAGUCAGUCAUCCAGCCUGCGGAUACGCCAACGCAGUCACACUGGGGACAGACCAUUCACUUGCUUUGAUUGUGGGAAGAGAUUUACUUCGUCAUCCAGUCUGCUGAAACACCAGCGAGCUCACAUUUGGGAGAGACCAUUCACGUGCUCUGAAUGUGGAAGAGGAUUCAUUCGCUUAUCCCACCUGCUGGGACACCAGCGCAUUCACACUGGUGAGAAACCAGUCACCUGCUCUGAUUGUGGGAAAGGAUUUAACCAAUCAUCCAACCUGCCUGCAGAGACACCAGUGAGUUCACACUGGGGAGAAAUAUUCACUCAGUGAACUCACCUGCUGAUACAUCACUAUGUUCAUCCUGGAGAGAGACCAUUCACUUGUUCCGUAUGUGGGAAGGGAUUCACUCUGUCACCCAAACUGUUAACACACCAGUGAAAUGACACCGAUGAAUCCUGUUCACCUGCUCUGUUUGUAUAAAAUGAUCUGCUGUUUGCCAACACAACAGCAAAAUCACAGAACCGCAGGUGUAGGAUUUUGCUUCUACUUAGACCAAGGAAUGAACCUUGGUCAUUGAGCCAUUUGUAUUGAUAUUAUUAAACCCUGCUACAUUCAAGGUCCUGAUACUCUCGGUAAAAUGUUGAUACAAAUGUAUAUCUGUAUGAUAAGUUUUGAAAAUGAUCACAAUGCCAUUGUACAUCAACACACUUAAACUGGGUAAAGACUGUCUACCUGCAUGUUGUUUGUAAAGUGAUUUUGUGGUUCAUCAGGACUGCUUAAACAGCAAUGAGUUACCGAGAAACUGUCUGUUGGAUUUUGAUGCUGUUUCUGCCUAUAUCCAAACUACGUUUUCUGGACUUGUUUCUGAUGAUGUUUGUAAACACCACAGGUU